CGGGGAGCUCGUCCAGUCUUCCUGCCUGAACGUCCUCAACAUCCUGAAGCGACAGAAGCAGGAGGACAGCUGAUGUGAAACACCAAAUUAUAGUGGAGUUCAUGACUCAUCAAAGGAUGAGAUAAAGCCAUCCAGGAGUUUGACGAUGAUUCAGUGGUUCUUUCAGUUUUACUCCUGCUGGCUUUCUGUGCUCAGCCACACGUUCUCCCGUUGUCAGGGCUUCUGUUGAUGUUUUCUUCAACUGUACACUUCCUCCUUUCCUCAUUUCAGUAUGUAC